GCUUACGGCCACACCGGCCUGAGUACACCUGAUCUCGUCCGAUCUCGGAAGCUAAGCAGGGUCGGGCCUGGUUAGUACUUGGAUGGGAGACGACCUGGGAAUACCAGGUGCUGUAAGCU
rnacentral:rRNA from 1 species